AACGUAGGUUCCGAGCGUUAUCCGGAUUUACUGGGCGUAAAGCGCGUUCAGGCGGUUCGGCAAGUCGGGCAUGAAAUCUCUCGGCUCAACCGGGAGAGGUUGUCCGAUACUGUUGGACUUGAGGGCAGUAGAGGGUGGUGGAAUUCCGGGUGUAGUGGUGAAAUGCGUAGAUAUCCGGAGGAACACCAGUGGCGAAGGCGGCUCACUGGCCCGGUACUGACGCUGAGGUGCGAAAGCGUGGGGAGCAAACAGG
rnacentral:rRNA from 1 species